GAAACGCACCGUGGUUCCCCGUCGGGUCAGGAGAUCCCGAGCCCCAGGCUGGCGUGGGCGAAGCGUACAAUCCCUUCACCUUUCGUCACCCAGAGGCACAAGAAUCCAGUUCGCGCCAACUGACCUGUUUCUUCCUUCCUCCCCGGCACUCUGGGAGUCCUGAGAUUGCCUUGCUCGGUUCGUCUCAGACUUGCUAGAUCUGAGCAGCUGCUGCUCCUCCACCAAGGGUGCUCACAUUCUCCAGGAAACUCCCUUAAGGGUUAGCAACCGCCGAGUAGGUUUCGGUCCCAAGAUAGAAAGGCUACAAGUGCAAAAAGCUGAAUGAAAAAUGGAAAGGUUACUGCUGAAAUAUUUACAGAUGGAAGGAUAUGAUGUCUAGAAUUUGUUUCAAACAAGACGAGGUCUUACUACCAUAGCCCAGGCUGGGCUCAACUGAUCCUCCUGCCUCAGCCUCCCAAAGUGCUGGGAUUACAGGUGUGAGCCACCACGCCCGCCAUCAAGCAUUUACUUAUUGAAACACAUAUCUUUUUAUAAUGCAUUAUUUUCUUAUUUAUCCUUUAUACUUAUAGCAUUAUAUUGAUUUUUAAAGUGUGUGCACUCACCUAUGCAGCACUCAAAAGGUUCUCUAAAAUGAUGGUUGACAUCUUUCUUCAACUCUGGUGUUUUCCUAUGUAACUUUUUCUAAGUGUAAUAUGUACUCAACAACUAAAAUAGGAUGUAUGAUAUGUACAUGCCUGCAUGGGCAUACAAAGACACACAUACACAUAUAUAAAAUAAAGAAAACACUAAAAUAUCAGCAAGCUUGACUCCCAACUUAAAAUUAUGUGUGCAGGAAGGUAUAUCAUAAGAUAAGAUCUAUUGAUGUCAGGAUGGUAAAGACAGUGUUAUGAAACGUUUGUUACAAUAUCAGGGUUUGGAUGUUAGGAUUGAGAACCUCAGGGUUAGAUAAUUCCAGAAGCCACUCCUGGAGCUGUGGGUAGGGAUAAUCCCACCCAAACUGCCUGGCUGUUUUCUGGAUGGAAGGGGUGGGGUGGUGCUGGGGAGGAAACCACAAUGUUGGCAGCCAGGAGGAAACAAACUUCACUUUCCAAGUUUACUGUACUUCUAUAUUGUUUGUGUUAUUUGACUAUUUUACAAUGACUGUUCAUUCCUUUUGUAACAAGCAAGACCAGUAAAGCUUUUUUUAUUUUAAAAUCUCCUAUAAAAUAUAGAAAACAGAUAAACAAAAUAAUAAAAAUCACCUGUAAUCCUAUUCUGCA